rnacentral:rRNA from 1 species
UACGUAGGUGGCAAGCGUUGUCCGGAUUUACUGGGCGUAAAGAGCGCGCAGGCGGUCGUUCAAGUCGCGUGUGAAAGCCCCCGGCUCAACUGGGGAGGGUCACGCGAUACUGAUCGACUCGAAGGCAGGAGAGGGUAGUGGAAUUCCCGGUGUAGUGGUGAAAUGCGUAGAUAUCGGGAGGAACACCAGUGGCGAAGGCGGCAUCCUGGACCAUAACUGACGCUGAGGCGCGAAAGCUAGGGGAGCAAACGGG